AUUUAUCUUGUUCAAAUUGAUUUCUAUCUAAUGUUAUUAUAUAUUCAGUGAAUAUAUUUGGAAGUCCAAAAUGGACAUUUAAAACAAACUGGCCUAAUAUUUCCAUAUGGUAGUUUUUAUUUUAAAUGUAAAUGUGGCCUAUGAGAAUGAUUCUUAGAAACGUUUCUGUUUUCCAGAUCUUAUUUGAGAUGUAUAACUUUUCUGGCAUCAUUUGAGACUUUGAAUAUCCCCAUCACAUAUGAAUUAUUUUGCAACAGUCCUAAAGAAGGAAUGAUUAAGGGUCUGUGGAAAAACCACAGCCACGAGUCCAUGGCAGUAAGAUUGGUGACUGAGCUGUGUUUAGAAUACAAAAUCUAUGACCUGCAGCUUUGGAAUGGACUCUUGCAAAAGCUUCUGGGCUUCAAUAUGAUUCCUUAUCUAAGGAAAGUUUUAAAAGCCAUCUCCAGUAUCCAUUCUUUAUGGCAGGUUCCCUACUUCAGCAAGGCGUGGCAGCGUGUGAUACAGAUACCACUGCUUUCAGCCUCUUGCCCUUUAAGUCCUGAUCAGCUGUCAGAUUGUUCUGAGAGUCUCAUUGCUGUCCUCGAAUGUCCAGUCUCAGAUGAUCUUGACCUGAUCGGAGUCGCCAGGCAAUAUAUCCAGUU
rnacentral:sRNA from 1 species